UAUGUUUAGUAUCUGCUUGUUUUUGGAGAAUACAGUAACGCAUGACCUGAAAGUGUAGAGAUCGCAUUUCUCUUUGGUUGUAUAGUCAAUUUUGUCAUCUCACCAUGGGUCAUGUUGACUGUAGGAUAUUUCAUGUGAUUUGUGUAUGCACAGAGUUUCAAGCAAUAUAAGAGCAGCACCUUGAACAUCUUAUGCGAAGAAGAGGUAAAAGCAGCAUCAAGUUUCAAUUUCUGAAGCUUUGACAAGAUUGAAUGCGCUUAUGAUAAAAGAACAGAAACUCUGUGCUUUACUUGGGCAACCCUGUUUCAGGGUUGAGGAGAGCUUGAUUCUCGUCGGUAAUCAAAACUGGACCUCUUCCUGGUCUUGUGCAGAUG